rnacentral:rRNA from 1 species
UAGUACGUGAAACUGAAUAAGUGGAAGCGUAUAGAGUUGUCGAAAGAUGGUAAUAAUAAGUUGCAUAAUAGUGUAACAGUUUAUKGCAAUGUUUCCGUAAUGGUUCAUUGUAUGAAUGUAGUUUAUUAUUAUGUAAUGCACUUGUUGCCAUUGUGCUGAUACAAUUGAUUGAGAUUUUUGAAAUAUCGCUAGAGGGCAUAUCUUCGGAUGUGUAUCCUGGUUUUAUGGAUAAAAUUUUUGGUUAAUUGUGUUAAAAGUAUAAAAGAUGAUAUAAGUAUGAUAGUGUAUAAAGGUUAAUGCUUGCAUUGGCUUUUUUACRUUGUUAUAUCUUAUGUUUUAUGAUAURCUUUUUUAUCAGUAUAAAAGACAAUCACCUAUAUGUCCCGUCUUGAAACACGGACCAAGGAGUUUAUCGUAUGUGCGAGUCAUUGAGUGUUAAAAYUCAUUGGCGUAAUGAAAGUAAAGUAAGCUUUAUGCUUAUGAUAUAUGAUUUUUUUUUCGUUUACGAAAAGAAAAGUAGUAUAGUCCCAUCCAAUAUGCUUGCAUAUGGGUGGAGAUAGAGCAUAUGCGAUGAGACCCGAAAGAUGGUGAACUAUGCCUGAGCAGGAUGAAGUCAGAGGAAACUCUGAUGGAAGUCCGAAGCGGUUCUGACGUGCAAAUCGAUCGUCUGA